CGUGCGUGUCGUCCGACGCGAUGGACGGCGCCUCGCCAGGGGACUGCACGGGAUCCGCUCGUCUGCCGCGCUGUGCUAGGGUUUGAUCCACGCGAUGGCUCCAUGGCGACUGUGCUAGGGUUCUACUAACGCGACGGCCCCAUGGCGGCUAGGGUUCUACCGACUCGACGGUCGGAGCCUCACCGGGGGGACUGCACUGGAUCCGCUUGUCUGCCUCCGCCAGGUCUGUUGCACGCCCUAGGGUUGUGUUUAGAUUGCAGUGUGAGCGUACAAUGUGGAGGGGAUAGCAAAACAGGGAGGCCGGGCGAGUUCCUUUUUUCUGGGACUCUUUUGUAGAGACUCCAGGUGGAGAAUAGAAUGCAGUGCAUCCCCAUAUGUUUCAUUCAGCGGCAGCGGCGAGGAGCCCAUCGUUUCUGUUUCCACCUUACACUCGUGGACACCCAUGUCUUCUUUGCCUGCCAAAGGCUCCAAGCCCAGACCUAGGCGUGGUUGUACUGGUGAGUCCCUUUUCAAUGCCCCCGCUCCUUUCCAUCCCUGUUUAUGGGCAGUUCAUGUGCUGGUAUUUCUUAGCUCGCGGAUCGAGAUAAAAGACUGGAAGAGAUUGAUUCAUUCAUUAAGAUCCAAAGACACCAAGGUUAGUUUCUGUCUUCAGAUCUCUUCUUUAGUUAUGACUGAUUUUCCAUGUUAAGAAUAAAAUUUUUGCAUGGUAUCUUUGUCGCGGAGUCAUUUUACUAAAGAUAACCUUGUUAAGAGGAAUUGGCAUGGAAGUACGCAAUGUGUCUUCUGUCAGCAUGAUGAGGCAAUAAAACAUUUGUUCUUUCAAUGUAAAUUGACUCGUACCCAUCAAGAGUCUACAUUAAGGCAUGACCAGUAAGUCAAAAUUCGAAUCAACUUCUAAGUUCACUAGACACAAGACAAAUCCCAGCUCUCCUCUACU